CUGCACCCUCCUCUCCUUGAGGUAGCUCAGAAAUUCCGACUGUUUGUAACGGUUCUAUAGAAUUAUUUUCUGGCACUGAAUUGCCUUGUGCACCAGGUGAAUCAAAUGCCUGCUUUGCAACAUCCUUCUGCUCUAAGUUCUGUUUGUUGGGAGGAGGAGGAGAAUCAAAUGCUCGCUUCGCAACAUCCUUCUGUUGCAAGUUAUGUUCGUUGGAAGCAGGAGGAGAAUCAAAUGCCCGCUUUGCAACAUCCUUCCGCUCAUAGCUGUGACUACGGCUUCGACUGCGGCGGCCAUGGCUAUGGCUUCGGCUCCGCCCUCGACCAGGACUACGGCUGUAGCUGCGGCUACGACCACGUGACCAGCUCCUGCUU
rnacentral:lncRNA from 1 species